rnacentral:rRNA from 1 species
UACGUAGGGUGCUAGCGUUGUCCGGAUUUAUUGGGCGUAAAGGGCUCGUAGGCGGCGUGUCGCGCGGGAGUGAAAGCCCGCUGCUUAACGGCGGGUUGGCUUCCGGUACGGGCAGUCGCUGGAAGUGCGGCAGGGGAGGACUGGAAGUUCCUGGUGGUAGCGGUGGAAUGCGCAGGAUAAUCAGGAGGAACACCGGUGGCGA